rnacentral:rRNA from 1 species
AUUGAACGCUAGCGGCAUGCUUAACACAUGCAAGUCGAACGAGUGGCGGACGGGUGAGUAAUAUAUCGGAAGUGCCCAGUAGCGGGGGAUAACUACUCGAAACAGUGGCUAAUACCGCAUACCAUCGGAUACCCCAUAUGGGAUUAGCUAGUAGGUGGGGUAAUGGAUCACCUAGGCGACGAUCCCUAGCUGGGCUGAGAGGAGGAUCAGCCACACUGGAACUGCGACACGGCCCAGACUCCGACGGAGGCAGCAGUGGGGAAUAUUGCACAAUGGGCGAAAGCCUGAUGCAGCCAUGCCGCGUGUAUGAAGAAGGCCCUAGGGUUGUAAAGUACUUUAAGUCGGGAGGCGUUACCGACAGAAUAAGCACCGGCUAACUCCGUGCCAGCAGCCGCGGUAAUAC